GAUGAAGAACGCAGUGAAAUGCGAUAAGUAAUGUGAAUUGCAGAAUUCAGUGAAUCAUCGAAUCUUUGAACGCACAUUGCGCCCGCCAGUAUUCUGGCGGGCAUGCCUGUCCGAGCGUCAUUUCAACCAUCAAGCCCCGGGCUUGUGUUGGGGACCUGCGUCCGACGCAGGCCCCGAAAACCAGUGGCGGGCUCGCUGUCCACACCGAGCGUAGUAGCUAACCUCGCUCCGGAGUGGCGCGGGCGCCUGCCGUAAAACCCCCCAAUUUUACAAGGUUGACCUCGGAUCAGGUAGGAAUACCCGCUGAACUUAAGCAUAUCAAUAAGCGGAGGA
rnacentral:misc_RNA from 1 species